CGAUUUUAGAUUUAAAUUUUGUUGAUUUAUUAACCCCUGUUCUAUGAAUGAAGAAAGAAGAAGAGGAUGCGGGUCCUCUAUUCUGUGGAGAUAAAAAUUUUUGAGAAGGUACCUUCAUGCAUGAUUAUAGGCACCUACAUCUUGAUUGUAGGUGCCUACAAUAAAGAUGUAGGUGCCUAUAAUCAGGCAUGAAGACACCUUCCUGAAGAUUUUUUUUCCGACCCGCAUUCUCUUCUUCCUCUUUCAUUCACAGAAUAGGGUUAAUAAAUCAACAAAAUUUAAACUUAAAAUUGAAGAAAAAAACCUUCAGGAAGGCGCCUUUCAUGCAUGAUUGUAGGUGCCUACAUCUUGAUUGUAGGUGCCUACAUUUUCUAAAGAUUUUUUUUCUUCAAUUUUAGGUUUAAAUUUUAUUGAUUUAUUAAUCCAUGUUCC
rnacentral:lncRNA from 1 species